CAGAGGGUGCGAGCGUUAAUCGGAAUUACUGGGCGUAAAGCGUGCGUAGAUGGUUAUGUAAGUCGGAUGUGAAAGCCCAGGGCUCAACCUUGGAAUUGCAUUCGAGACUGCAUAGCUAGGAUGCGGAAGAGGGAAGCGGAACUUCCGGUGUAGCGGUGAAAUGCGUAGAUAUCGGAAGGAACACCAGUGGCGAAAGCGGCUUCCUGGUCCAGCAUCGACGUUCAGGCACGAAAGCGCGGGGAGCAAACAGGAUUAGAUACCCUGGUAGUCCACGCCAUAAACGAUGACAACUAGACGUUGAGAGGGUAAGCCUCCCAGUGUCGCAGCUAACGCGUUAAGUUGUCCGCCUGGGGAGUACGGCCGCAAGGUUG
rnacentral:rRNA from 1 species